UGGGGAAUAUUGGACAAUGGGGGCAACCCUGAUCCAGCCAUGCCGCGUGAGUGAUGAAGGCCUUCGGGUUGUAAAGCUCUUUUGGCGGGGACGAUGAUGACGGUACCCGCAGAAUAAGCCCCGGCUAACUUCGUGCCAGCAGCCGCGGUAAGACGAAGGGGGCAAGCGUUGUUCGGAAUUACUGGGCGUAAAGGGCGCGUAGGCGGUUUGCUUAGUCAGGCGUGAAAGCCCUGGGCCUAACCUGGGAUGUGCGCUUGAUACUGGCAGGCUUGAGUGUGGGAGAGGUUGGUGGAAUUCCCAGUGUAGAGGUGAAAUUCGUAGAUAUUGGGAAGAACACCGGUGGCGAAGGCGGCCAACUGGACCACAACUGACGCUGAGGCGCGAAAGCGUGGGGAGCAAACA
rnacentral:rRNA from 1 species